GACGAACGCUGGCGGCGUGCUUAACACAUGCAAGUCGAACGGAAAGGCCCUGCUUUUGUGGGGUGCUCGAGUGGCGAACGGGUGAGUAACACGUGAGUAACCUGCCCUUGACUUUGGGAUAACUUCAGGAAACUGGGGCUAAUACCGGAUAGGAGCUCCUGCUGCAUGGUGGGGGCUGGAAAGUUUCGGCGGUUGGGGAUGGAAUCGCGGCUUAUCAGCUUGUUGGUGGGGUAGUGGCUUACCAAGGCUAUGACGGGUAGCCGGCCUGAGAGGGUGACCGGCCACGCUGCGCUUGAGAUGCGGCACAGACUACUAUGGGAGGCAGCAGUGGGGAAUAGUGCACAAUGGGCGGAGGCCUGAUGCAGCAACGCCGCGUGCGGGAUGACGGGCUGCGGGUUGGAAACCGCUUUCGCCUGUGACGAGGCGUGAGUGACGGUAAUGGGUAAAGAAGCACCGGCUAACUACGUG
rnacentral:rRNA from 1 species